UAGGGAAUCUUCGGCAAUGGGGGGAACCCUGACCGAGCAACGCCGCGUGAGUGAAGAAGGUUUUCGGAUCGUAAAGCUCUGUUGUUAAGGAAGAACGAGUGUGAGAAUGGAAAGUUCAUGCUGUGACGGUACUUAACCAGAAAGGGACGGCUAACUACGUGCCAGCAGCCGCGGUAAUACGUAGGUCCCGAGCGUUGUCCGGAUUUAUUGGGCGUAAAGCGAGCGCAGGCGGUUAGAAAAGUCUGAAGUGAAAGGCAGUGGCUCAACCAUUGUAGGCUUUGGAAACUGUUUAACUUGAGUGCAGAAGGGGAGAGUGGAAUUCCAUGUGUAGCGGUGAAAUGCGUAGAUAUAUGAAGGAACACCGGUGGCGAAAGCGGCUCUCUGGUCUGUAACUGACGCUGAGGCUCGAAAGCGUGGGGAGCGAACAGG
rnacentral:rRNA from 1 species